rnacentral:rRNA from 1 species
UUAAGCGACUAAGCGUACACGGUGGAUGCCCUGGCAGUCAGAGGCGAUGAAGGGCGUGCUAAUCUGCGAUAAGCGCCGGUAAGGUGAUAUGAACCGUUAUAACCGGCGAUACCCGAAUGGGGAAACCCAGUGUGACUCGUCACACUAUCAUUAACUGAAUCCAUAGGUUAAUGAGGCGAACCGGGGGAACUGAAACAUCUAAGUACCCCGAGGAAAAGAAAUCAACCGAGAUUCCCCCAGUAGCGGCGAGCGAACGGGGAGGAGCCCAGAGCCUGAAUCAGCAUGUGUGUUAGUGGAAGCGUCUGGAAAGGCGCGCGAUACAGGGUGACAGCCCCGUACACAAAAGCGCAUGUGCUGUGAGCUCGAUGAGUAGGGCGGGACACGUGGUAUCCUGUCUGAAUAUGGGGGGACCAUCCUCCAAGGCUAAAUACUCCUGACUGACCGAUAGUGAACCAGUACCGUGAGGGAAAGGCGAAAAGAACCCCGGCGAGGGGAGUGAAAAAGAACCUGAAACCGUGUACGUACAAGCAGUGGGAGCCCCACCACUAAGCCAGUGGUGAACUCCACAUACGCAUCCUUUGCUGAGGAUACGGUUAACGGAGCGAAAGCGACGUUCAACCUCAAAAGAAGCAGAGGGGGCUUAGUGGUGGGGUGACUGCGUACCUUUUGUAUAAUGGGUCAGCGACUUAUAUUCUGUAGCAAGGUUAACCGCAUAGGGGAGCCGGAGGGAAACCGAGUCUUAAUUGGGCGUUAAGUUGCAGGGUAUAGACCCGAAACCCGGUGAUCUAGCCAUGGGCAGGUUGAAGGUUGGGUAACACUAACUGGAGGACCGAACCGACUAAUGUUGAAAAAUUAGCGGAUGACCUGUGGCUGGGGGUGAAAGGCCAAUCAAACCGGGAGAUAGCUGGUUCUCCCCGAAAGCUAUUUAGGUAGCGCCUCGUGAAUUCAUCUCCGGGGGUAGAGCACUGUUUCGGCUAGGGGGCCAUCCCGGCUUACCAACCCGAUGCAAACUGCGAAUACCGGAGAAUGUUAUCACGGGAGACACACGGCGGGUGCUAACGUCCGUCGUGAAGAGGGAAACAACCCAGACCGCCAGCUAAGGUCCCAAAGUCAUGGUUAAGUGGGAAACGAUGUGGGAAGGCCCAGACAGCCAGGAUGUUGGCUUAGAAGCAGCCAUCAUUUAAAGAAAGCGUAAUAGCUCACUGGUCGAGUCGGCCUGCGCGGAAGAUGUAACGGGGCUAAACCAUGCACCGAAGCUGCGGCAGCGACGCUGAUGCGUUGUUGGGUAGGGGAGCGUUCUGUAAGCCUGUGAAGGUGUGCUGUGAGGCAUGCUGGAGGUAUCAGAAGUGCGAAUGCUGACAUAAGUAACGAUAAAGCGGGUGAAAAGCCCGCUCGCCGGAAGACCAAGGGUUCCUGUCCAACGUUAAUCGGGGCAGGGUGAGUCGACCCCUAAGGCGAGGCCGAAAGGCGUAGUCGAUGGGAAACAGGUUAAUAUUCCUGUACUUGGUGUUACUGCGAAGGGGGGACGGAGAAGGCUAUGUUGGCCGGGCGACGGUUGUCCCGGUUUAAGCGUGUAGGCUGGUUUUCCAGGCAAAUCCGGAAAAUCAAGGCUGAGGCGUGAUGACGAGGCACUACGGUGCUGAAGCAACAAAUGCCCUGCUUCCAGGAAAAGCCUCUAAGCAUCAGGUAACAUCAAAUCGUACCCCAAACCGACACAGGUGGUCAGGUAGAGAAUACCAAGGCGCUUGAGAGAACUCGGGUGAAGGAACUAGGCAAAAUGGUGCCGUAACUUCGGGAGAAGGCACGCUGACACGUAGGUGAAGUGAUUUACUCAUGGAGCUGAAGUCAGUCGAAGAUACCAGCUGGCUGCAACUGUUUAUUAAAAACACAGCACUGUGCAAACACGAAAGUGGACGUAUACGGUGUGACGCCUGCCCGGUGCCGGAAGGUUAAUUGAUGGGGUCAGCGCAAGCGAAGCUCCUGAUCGAAGCCCCGGUAAACGGCGGCCGUAACUAUAACGGUCCUAAGGUAGCGAAAUUCCUUGUCGGGUAAGUUCCGACCUGCACGAAUGGCGUAAUGAUGGCCAGGCUGUCUCCACCCGAGACUCAGUGAAAUUGAACUCGCUGUGAAGAUGCAGUGUACCCGCGGCAAGACGGAAAGACCCCGUGAACCUUUACUAUAGCUUGACACUGAACAUUGAGCCUUGAUGUGUAGGAUAGGUGGGAGGCUUUGAAGUGUGGACGCCAGUCUGCAUGGAGCCGACCUUGAAAUACCACCCUUUAAUGUUUGAUGUUCUAACGUGGACCCGUAAUCCGGGUUGCGGACAGUGUCUGGUGGGUAGUUUGACUGGGGCGGUCUCCUCCUAAAGAGUAACGGAGGAGCACGAAGGUUGGCUAAUCCUGGUCGGACAUCAGGAGGUUAGUGCAAUGGCAUAAGCCAGCUUGACUGCGAGCGUGACGGCGCGAGCAGGUGCGAAAGCAGGUCAUAGUGAUCCGGUGGUUCUGAAUGGAAGGGCCAUCGCUCAACGGAUAAAAGGUACUCCGGGGAUAACAGGCUGAUACCGCCCAAGAGUUCAUAUCGACGGCGGUGUUUGGCACCUCGAUGUCGGCUCAUCACAUCCUGGGGCUGAAGUAGGUCCCAAGGGUAUGGCUGUUCGCCAUUUAAAGUGGUACGCGAGCUGGGUUUAGAACGUCGUGAGACAGUUCGGUCCCUAUCUGCCGUGGGCGCUGGAGAACUGAGGGGGGCUGCUCCUAGUACGAGAGGACCGGAGUGGACGCAUCACUGGUGUUCGGGUUGUCAUGCCAAUGGCACUGCCCGGUAGCUAAAUGCGGAAGAGAUAAGUGCUGAAAGCAUCUAAGCACGAAACUUGCCCCGAGAUGAGUUCUCCCUGAGACUUAGAGUCUCCUGAAGGAACGUUGAAGACGACGACGUUGAUAGGCCGGGUGUGUAAGCGCAGCGAUGCGUUGAGCUAACCGGUACUAAUGAACCGUGAGGCUUAACCUU